CAUUCCAUCAUUUCAACAACGUGUCUGAUUAGAACUUCAUAUUACUCUAUCAAUCACUCCAGCUACCGAAACCAUCUUGCGAUGGCACUAUAUGCCUAUUCUUCCUCUAUAAUCAGCACUGGUUUCGCAUUUUCCAGUGAUAAUAAUGAUUACAGAAAAGGGGUUAAGUUUCUUAUUGAUACUGAACCUGACAUGAAGAAGCUGCCUUCAGAAUUUGCUCUUCCCUUGCUGAGAAAUCCAUUAUCUGUUGUUCAUGCUGAAAUACCUGUCAUAGACUUGAGUGGACUUGAUGGACCUGUUCAACGUCGAGUUUCAACAAUUCGAGACAUCAGCUCUGCCUGUGCUGACUGGGGAUUCUUCAGGGUGAGUAAUGAAUAAGUUUCCAAUUUUUUGUUGGUCAAAAUUGGAAAUAGUGGUAAACAAUUUCUCUUGCGAUGGCACUAUAUGCCUCUUCUUCCUCUAUAAUCAGCACUGGUUUCGCAUUUUCCAGUGAUAAUAAUGAUUACAGAAAAGGGGUUAAGUUUCUUAUUGAUACUGAACCUGACAUGAAGAAGCUGCCUUCAGAAUUUGCUCUUCCCUUGCUGAGAAAUCCAUUAUCUGUUGUUCAUGCUGAAAUACCUGUCAUAGACUUGAGUGGACUUGAUGGACCUGUUCAACGUCGAGUUUCAACAAUUCGAGACAUCAGCUCUGCCUGUGCUGACUGGGGAUUCUUCAGGGUGAGUAAUGAAUAAGUUUCCAAUUUUUUGUUGGUCAAAAUUGGAAAUAGUGGUAAACAAUUUCAUUAGCUAAUUACUUGAGGAUGUAUUUAAGUUCAC
rnacentral:lncRNA from 1 species